rnacentral:rRNA from 1 species
CCGCGGUAAUACGAAGGGGGCUAGCGUUGUUCGGAAUUACUGUGCGUAAAGCGCACGUAGGCGGGUAUUUAAGUCAGGGGUGAAAUCCCGGAGCUCAACUCCGGAACUGCCUUUGAUACUGGGUACCUAGAGUAUGGAAGAGGUAAGUGGAAUUCCGAGUGUAGAGGUGAAAUUCGUAGAUAUUCGGAGGAACACCAGUGGCGAAGGCGGCUUACUGGUCCAUUACUGACGCUGAGGUGCGAAAGCGUGGGGAGCGAACAGG